AAGAAAGAAAGAAAGAAAUGAAAAAGAAAAACGCUUAGAAGUAUCUCUCGCUUCAUCUCUCUCCUGAGCUUUCUUUCUCUCUCCACCUUCUUUGCUUCACCUUAGCACAGAAGAGAGAGAGAGAGAAAGAGAGAAACAUGUCCAAUCCGUCUUUCCGAGCACCAUUUAUGCGUGUAAGGAAUUUGUAAAAGCUUUCUUUUGCUUUUUAUUUGUGCUGGGACGGGGUUGAGUUUGUUGCCAGAGCUUUGUGUUCUUUGUUUUUGGGUUAUUACUGUUGUUGCUGUUGUUGAAGAUGUUGGUGGCAAAUAGCUUUGAUCUAUGGCAAAAGGACUCAUUUUUUUGUGCUGCCGAGGAGGUUCAGGAAUCUACAGAUAUACUGGAAUCAGCAUACAGGACAUGGAUGAGACAGAAGAGAGAAACACUAUCACCAGAGUGUUUGGAUGAACUCUGUAGGGAGCUGCAAACUGCUUUAGGAACUGCUAAAUGGCAGUUGGAAGAGUUCGAGAGGGCUGUCAGGUUGAGCUAUGGACAUCGUAGUGAUGACAGUACAAUGGCUAGGCAUAGACAAUUUAUUUCUGCCAUUGAAAACCAAAUAUCACAUGUUGAAGCAGCAUUAAGGGAAUCUUUUAGUGAGGAAGGAAAGCAACCCCUUCGGUGGGUGAAUCUGGAUGAAGAUGAAUGUGAUGACUUGGCCGCAUUUCUCUCUGGAACCUCCCAAAGCUUGCAAAGUGCAAAAGAUGAUUGUUUAGAGCUCAGACCUUCCAAGAAAAGCUCUCCUCUGGAUAACACUCAGAGAAAAGAUGCAGACCUUAAUCUCAAUGCUUCCUGCAGCAGAGGAUUUUCUGAUGAAAUGAAAAGUUUUAAAGAUGUUAGUAGUGUUAGUAAGGACAAAAAUAAUGUCAUAAAUAUAGAAGCAAAUGAAAUUCCCUUAGGGAGGGAUGAUAUAAUUUGUCAAGCAGAUAGAACAACUAAUACAAGGAGAACGUGGAGCUCACCAAAUUUUGGUGAAUUGAAGAUAAUAAUUCCUGAUGAAGAUGAACAGGUAGACAAACUAGUGCUGAGGGUCGACGACACUCCUAAGGAAAAAAGGUCAAAACCUUUCUUUUGGAAGCAAAGGCGUGUGGAAUUUUUUCAGGUGCAGGGAGCAGUUAAUUUGUUCAAUCAGUUCAAUGUGUUGCAGCUCUUUGGUCGGGCUGGUGGGUUGCAGAGACAAUUGCAGAGUCCAAUACACUUGCCAUUCCGUUGUUCUGUACAAGUUACACUUGCUUUUAUGCUAACUAUCUUUUUGAUUGUACCUUUUUUAUUUUAUUCAGCUUGAUAAAGUGGUAUUUUUACGGCAGAAGAUCAAGAUGAGAGGCAAACUUCAAGAUUCUAGUUAAACAGUGCCUAAUGCACAAGCAUACAGAUCUUGACUUCAACAUAUGUACUGAGGUGAUUCUAAAGCAAGUUUGAAAAGGGAACGCUUGUGAUUCUCAAGUCUAGGCAUUGUCCCAGCAUGUAUGACAUUUUGGAGUAGGCCAGGCCUCCUCCUCUUUAAAGUUUGAGAAGUAAAACAGCAACAGGAAUGGGAUAUCUUUUUAGACUUCUUGAUGCUACAAAUUGUAAAUACAUUCAUGUUGUCUUAAAUGUAUGCUCCCAGUUAUAUCUGGUAGUGUAGACAAUCCCAUUUCAAUUUAAGCCUUAAACUUUAAACAUGGCUGCUUGUUAAGGGUCCAAAUCCAUGGCUUUUAAUGUACUACCCUUGAUCUUUGGUUAAUAAUGCUUGUAAAUAACUCAUCUUUAAAUCCCUUUGCACUGAAUGUUUUCUGGUCUGUUCAAUUAUCGAUAAUCUGAUUUUUGGCUAA